CAUUAUAAGCUAGCUGCCAUGUAUUUCCUUCUCCAAUACCUAAACUUUACAACAGUCGGAGUCUUUGCCACACUUCUCCUUUCCUACUGUCUAUUAUUAUGGAGGUCUAGAGAAGGUAACAGCAAAAUAGCACCUGAAGCCACCGCUGCAUGGCCCAUAAUCGGUCACCUGCACCUGUUAGGUGGGUCUGAUCAGCUUCCCCACAUAACCUUGGGAAACAUGGCCGACAAAUAUGGGCCGGUCUUCACAAUUCGUCUUGGGGUGCAUCGAGCUUUGGUGGUGAGUAGCUAGGAGAUGGCUAAAGAAUGCUUGACCACCAAUGACCAGGCUGCAUCCUCGCGUCCCGAACUUUUAGCCUCAAAACAUUUGGGCUACAACCACGCCAUGUUUGGUUUCUCUCCGUACGGUUCUUACUGGCGUGAAGUGCGCAAGAUAAUCAACCUAGAGCUACUCUCUAACCGCCGCCUAGAGCUGCUGAAGGACGUCCGAGCUUCAGAAGUGGUGACAUCCAUAAAAGAGCUAUACGAGCUCUGGGAAGAGAAAAAAAAUGAAUCGGGCCUUGUCUCGGUGGAGAUGAAGCAGUGGUUUGGAGACUUGACUCUGAACGUAAUUCUUAGGAUGGUGGCAGGGAAGCGUUAUUUCAGUGCUUCAGAUGCAAGUGAAAAUAAACAGGCGCAGAGGUGCCGGAGAGUGUUCAGGGAAUUCUUUCAUUUGUAAGGGCUCUUUGCGGUGGCGGACGCUAUUCCUUUUCUUGGAUGGCUAGACUUGGGGAGACAUGAGAAGACCCUAAAGAAGACAGCAAAAGAAAUGGACAGUAUUGCUCAAGAAUGGUUAGAGGAGCACCGUCGGAGGAAAGACUCCGGUGAAGUUAAUAGUACGCAAGACUUCAUGGAUGUGAUGUUGUCAGUUCUUGAUGGCAAAAUCCUUGGUGAUUACGAUGCUGAUACCGUCAAUAAAGCCACAUGCCUAGUAUACAUUAUUGGAACACCCACAUAUCAUAUAUAUUUGCAUAUUAUCAGGGCUAGCUUUAUUUCCAUAGGUACUUCUCUUAAUUUUGAAGUGUUACACUGCAAUAAUCAAAUAAAUUUUAAAUUUUAUUUUUUAAAAAUAAAAUUUAAAAAUAUAUAUACCGCUGAAAGAAUUGAUUUCAGAAAAUUAUUCUUUGAGAGCACCUUUGAUAAACUGAGACAUGUUUCUAGGGAAUACUAAAUAUGAUGUUUUUAAAAACGGCUUAAUUUGUAAUUUUAUUUUUGAGCAAGUUGCAAAAUACUUUAUCUGCUUCCAAUUUUCAUUUUGGUCGGCAAUAAGGGGCAAUAAGGGGUUAUCCAGGUUUCCGUAGUUAUAUUUAAUUUCCCUUGUAGAAAAUAAGUGAUCUUGAAAUCAUAAGUUUAAUCAUGUUUGCUUGAAUAAGAAACUUGAAGAUCCUGUAAAGAGAUGACAUACAUCGUUUGGGCAAUAUACCUAUGUAAGAGAUGGUUGGUUUAGAAUUUUUCUCUUAAACCAUAUAUAGGAGAAAAUGGAAAAAAAAAAUACUGUUAUUUUUUUACUAGGCCAUACUAUUUAAUAGUGUCUGAAGAGAGUUUCAUUACAUGCUAUCAAACAAUUAAUUUUGUCUCAUCACCUGCGUAAUCUUAAGUUGUUAUCUUUUGUGUUUUGUAGGCUCUAAUUGUAGGAGGUAGUGACACAACAGUUGUCACUUUAACUUGGGCGCUCUCUCUUCUAUUAAAUAAUCGUGACACCUUGAAAAAGGCACAAGAAGAAUUAGAUAUUCAAGUUGGCAAGGAAAGAUUAGUGAAUGAACAAGAUAUCAGUAAAUUGGUCUAUCUCCAAGCCAUUGUUAAAGAGACAUUACGAUUAUAUCCGCCAGCGGCACUUGGAGGACCACGUCAAUUCACUGAGGACUGCACCUUGGGUGGUUACCAUGUCUCCAAAGGCACCUGAUUAAUAUUGAAUCUUUCCAAAAUCCAAAAGGAUCCAAGAAUUUGGAUGAGUCUAACAGAAUUCCAACCAGAGAGGUUUCUAACCACCCAUAAGGACCUUGAUCCUCAAGGAAAACAUUUUGAAUUUAUACCAUUUGGUGCGGGUAGAAGAGCAUGUCCAGGAAUAGCUUUCGCUCUUCAAAUGCUACAUUUAACAUUGGCCAAUUUCUUACAGGCGUUCGACUUUUCAACUCCAUCAAAUGCACGAGUUGAUAUGUGCGAGAGCCUUGGACUUACAAACAUGAAAUCUACCCCACUUGAAGUUCUCAUUUCUCCACGCAUGUCUUUGUUAUAGUCUUUACAACUAAAAUAUUGAAAUGAAAAGGUAAAAGCUGGCCUAGUUGGCUAGUCUUAGUUUAAAGACAUCUUGAGUUAGCCUUAAGAUGCAUAAGAUAAGAUUUAGGAGUGUAUUAAAAAUAGUUUGGACUAAAAAUGAUGUAUGGUAAACUAAACUAUAAUCUAUUCCAAUAAAAGUAUAGUAUUAUAUAUUAUUUGGCCAGCCUUUUAAAAUUUAGCAUCAUAAAUUUGAACAUAUAUAUAAACCUUAGUCUAACUUUAUUUCUCUAUUUUGUGUAGUUUAUUGGCACUUUUUUUUCCCUUUUUUUUCACCAAAACAGGUAAUACAUAGGCUUUUCAAAAAUAUUACCUAUAUAAGAAUUUUAUUAUUACAUACUUAGAGGAUGUUUGGUAAAUCAAUAUAAUGGCUUAAUGACCUAUUUAAGUCUUAACUAGAUUAAGAAUAUUUGGUAAAAUAACUUAAAGAAUAAAUUAAUUAUUUUAACUUAGCACUUAAAAUUAAAUACUUGACCAGGCAAAAAAAAAAAAAAAAAAAGACUUUUAUGGAAUAAGGGCAAGAAAGAAGAUAAGAAGGAUUAGUAGUUGCCUAGUCGAGGAACUUGAGGCCGACAUUCAGAGUGCGGUCCCAGAGUUCAAGACACCGCCUAAAACUAGUGUCGGUCAUAGAGAGACAUUAAUUUUUCAAUGAAACAAACCCCAUCUCUUGUUCUCUCCCGCCUCAACAGCAGUGGUAAGUGUGGAUAUAGAUCUAAAUGCAAGAUGAUCCCGAACUGAUUUCAUACCACCAUCCAUCACCAACCAAUCACAUUCCACUUCCCACUUCAAACUUUUCGAUUCCUCGGGUAGCCUCCUCUAUAAAGGCAGUCUAGCUUCAGAGGCAGGUGAGCCGGGUCAGGAAGGAGUUUGACUGCUGGGAAGGGAUUGGAUCCUACUCGAAGCACUCCACCAUGAAUAAGAAUCUUCGAGUUAGAUAGGCAGUAGAGAUAGGAACUCCUAUUUGUAGGGUGGGCUUUCAAGACAGAGAUGCACUACUCCAUCUGGAAAGGGCUUUCCCUCGUGGGGAAAGAGUAUGAUUAAGGAAGACCAAUUAAAGAAGGGUGGUCGUAGAUCAGAUAUCGAUUAACUGCUUGGCAACCUAUCCCGAAUUGACCAGUUGACCAGGUAGGAAUACCUGUACUAAUUGCAACAAGAGAGACCAAUAGAGUUGAACAGACAACUGACAGCUCGCAAUUGAGAGACUUUCCUGUUGAGUUGACAGAUGAGCGAUUGCAAGAAAUAGGGGAAAAAAGACAGAUAACGCACAGAUUGACUUAGCAAGAAGCGGUUAGUGGGACUUAGUUCGAGGUUUUAUUCCUCUUUCCUUAUUCGUGAACAUAUGGGACUCUUUCUUUUUGCUUUCUUCAAUCACUUCGAUCUCUGCCACUCUCGCCUGUCGAAGAUAGCCUAGUCUUUUAAAGUAUACGAUUUCCGAGUUAUUGAACUCCUAAAUUCAUUCCGAUUGGGGAAUAAUAAAAGAUGUUAUUAACUUCAAGUUAUCCCAAUAUUUAUAGCUAAAGCCCUAGAGGGCGCGUUCUUAAACCUUUUCGCUACGUGAAAUUUAAGCAAGAUCUCAUCGGUUCUAUCUUUAGCGAAAUCUUCCUUUAGCUUUGAUGUCAGGUGAUCAAAAGAGAUUACCGAAUAGAGCUCUUAUUCAAACCAUCAUUCUUUUCUAGUUAUCACACUCAGAUAGAGGGAAGAUUUAGAUUUGUAUCCCAACUUAUUAAUCCAACUUCCACGAGGUAAGUCAAAUGCUCUAUGGGCGAUGUCUAAGCAGUGUCUACGAACCUAGACGAAAAGGGCUUUCAUUACCAUGUUGGAAUUUUGAACAGGACCACCUACCAAUCAGUAUACGACAACAAAAAGGCUCAGAGAAGCAUUUAGCGAGUAUGAUGGGGCCCAGAUCACAGUAAACUUUGACAAAGCAUGGGGGUCUCUUUGUGACUAUGCAAUUAAAGAGGACGAACAACCUCUGACUUGGAAGGAAGAAAGCCUCGCCCAAAUAAAGGAACGGGUCAAUGCGAAGAAAACUCAUAGGAAGACCGAUAUAGAAACAAAACUAAAAAAUAUUGAUAGGAUGUCAAACAAAGAGGAUAGGUUCCAAGUUUAUGAGGAUUUAGUAUUUGCGCAAAAGUUCCUAUCUUCCUAUUCCUAGGUUAAGUCUAUUUUCGAUGAUCUGAAAAUCUUAAAAGACAUCAAGGGAGAACACCUUGUCAAAUAGAAUCUAUACGAGCAUGGGAAACCUGAUGAAUAUGACAUUGAGGAAUUGAAUUGGGAGAAAAAGACUGACUUAUUUAUUGCUUGAUUUGAUUGCCUAUCAACUUGCUUUUAGUAGACCUAGUAAAACAACUAUUCCUUUUUGAGGAGUCGAGUACCUAAAAAACGAUCAUUCUCCAUUUUCUGUCAAAAGUGCUCCGAAUCUACUUCGCUAGCUCAUGGAAAAAUGACUUCGUGGGGACUCACGAUUACUACAAUUUAUGGGUAUUCUUUGAGUUCCACGAACCAGACACGGGAAGCACAGUCAUUGGAGCAUUCGAAACAGGAACGACUUAUGCUAACACAGUCUUUAAGAUUCUGGACGGGUAUAUCGACUUGACUCCAAAUACAAUCAAAUUAUAACAAAAAAAAAAUGUGCUUAUAAGAAUCAAAAUUCUUGCAAAUAAACUUCCCUUGUGUAUUAGGGACCCUUUCAAGCAAGGUUCCAAACAUUAAGAUUCUUUUCCAAUAAAAAGAUAGUAAAAGAGGCACAAAUCAGAUCAUAGAAACCUUGUGGGGUUGCAUACAACGCCAAAUAACAAGCAGCGCUUACGUACAACGAGAAAAGAUAAAGAAAUUGCCUAGAUCAACUACAACGAAUGCAAAUGCGUAUUAUUACCAAACCUGAUACCACUAGAUUUAUUUCUUAGUUAUAUAAUAUAGUAGCAAACAUGCCGAGAGAAACAAUACCCAUACCUGCUGUGGAUUCACAGGGGGACACGACGGCGAGAAAUUUUUGGCGGACGGAUUAUUCAUCACGCAAUUGGGCCAUACAACAAGGUUAUACAAUGUGGCGUAGAAUCCAGCAGGAAGACGACUUUAUGAAAACAAAAAAGAUCCUAGUAGUGAUACUUGACAUAGAAUCGAAAAGAAGCCAAAGCUACAAGUACGCAGAAGAUGUGGGGGGAGAUGAUACGAGACUUUCUUUAAUCGAUUUUGCCAUUAUUCCCUUGAAGCAAAAAAAAAAAAAGACAAAAGAUAUUAUUAUAUAUUUAAUAACAUAUGUAAAUGGAGGAAAGCACCCUUAUUUUAUUGAAAUACAUCUGUGUGACGAAAGGCAACCCAUCUGGUACCUACCACUACUCGAAAACCAUUUUAUCCAACGGUGUGGAGAAAUUAAAACGAACAUUGUUAGGAUUACGCAACUGGGGCCCUUCUUGAGUGAAAAUGACAAAGAGAAGAGGAAGUCAGAAAAACUCUACCCAUAUUGAUCAAACUAUACCAAAGCGAAGUCUCAUGCAAAAAAGAAAUGAAAUAAAAAAAGGCAAGAUGAGCAAGAAUUUGGGAUAACACGUUUCAUAAACGAAUUCAGCCCUCAAGAACAGAAAGCAUAGGUUGAUGAACUCAUUAAACAAUCCGAGAACACAAACAACUACCCAAGAUUCGGGCUAGAGCUGUGCACAAGUAGGAACUUUAGCCGCCACUAGUACGUACGACAAGUGCAGUGCUUCUGCCCUCUUAUCUUGUUCCUGAACAGGAGGUACACUUGGUCCCUUGUUACAUGACUUUUUUUAUAUCUUUAUGGUCUGAGAUAUCAAGUCGUAACACCGUUGGUUCUUUGAUAAAAUUUUGUAAUGCACCGAUGGUGUUUUAGUUGCCCCUUGAGGGAACCAGUCCUUAUGGUAGAGGGCCAAGAAAAGAUAGCGUGCUUGUGUUGGAAGCAAGCAAGCGGGCAAGCGGGUGAACAAAUCACCAAUUGAACUAGACAUUCGGUUACUAGGAGCAUCCCUUUAUCAGCAUCUUCAUAACUGUCUUCAAGCUUCUGGGCCUCGGAAACACAAUAGAAUCUUGUGAUCGAGUGAAGGGCAAAUGAGCUACCACGUCCCAGCUAAAAAUCUUACCUGAUUUUAGCUACUCCCGUAACCGUCCCUUUGAGUACUUAUGGCAAUCAUUUACCUUAUUUAUACCCAUCUCAAAUAAUGGGACUCGAUUUAUCAUUUGAAUUUAUCUCCAAAAAUUGGACUGAAAGUGAAUAUGUUUUCUUUAUUGUAGAAGUUUACAUCUGGAGCUCCCUUGAGUGGUGUUAGCUGGUCGUAAGUCAGAAAAGGAAAGGAAUGAGGGGCAAGACCGGAGACCUACGACCAUAGGCUAGAGACCGAAGAAUCCCAUAACCUGUUUCGAGAAGGGCAGGCUAGUUUAAGCAUAGUCAUUCGAUUCGACAUCUGCCUCUUUCAAGCGGAUAGAGAAAGGAGAGUAGGAGCACAAGAAGGAUCAGACGAUUCUAAUUGUUAGACAGAGUAGAGGGGAGAGAGGCAAAUUGAGUUUCUGAAGCUGACGAAGUGAUUUACUAUAUUGUGGAGCUUCCACCAACAGUAGUUUUUCCACCAUAAGGGGAGAGAUAUUGCGCUAGGUCAACUCGAGCAUAGGGUUACAGACGGACAUCUUCCGUUCAAUCAGAUGGGACUCUUUGUUGAGAGUUCUAAAGCUAGGUUUGCCACUUUAAACCCAACAGAUGCAAAGCAAAAGCCAAAAAACCAGCAACUCUCUUACUUCAAUUGACUGCUUGACUUCUUUCUAUCCGAUUAGCAUUGGUUUAUGCUGUCUCGAAAACAGGAACUUAGGAUUUUUAUACCAAGAUUCAAGACAAGAAGUCUCGACAUUCCUCAUAUGGGAAAAAAAUGAAGUGGAACCUUCCAAAGGCCCGGGUUACGAUGCUUCAAGUUCAAUGAAGGAAAUUGGGAGAACUUGAAAAUGGACCAUGACUCUAUUAGCUUACUAGCUUAGCUUCGUGAGCUUGCUUCUUUGGUUAGACAAAAAGCAUUCUACUUACUGUCGAAGUGGAAAUCAUUCUCUAGGUCGAUAAUAAAAUAGUGCUUUCAAAGUAGAAAGGAGGACGAACUAUAUUGGAAUUUCUUAGGGCAAAAUUCUCAAAGGCUAGCUAGCAAGAAAGUGAUAGUCUAAUGGUUACAACGAGUGAGCAUACUGGAUUAAGUUUACAAUCUCCGAUAUUAUCCAUUUCAGAAUCUUUCACUAUCGAGAGGAAAUUGUUUNNNNNNNNNNNNNNNNNNNNNNNNNNNNNNNNNNNNNNNNNNNNNNNNNNNNNNNNNNNNNNNNNNNNNNNNNNNNNNNNNNNNNNNNNNNNNNNNNNNNNNNNNNNNNNNNNNNNNNNNNNNNNNNNNNNNNNNNNNNNNNNNNNNNNNNNNNNNNNNNNNNNNNNNNNNNNNNNNNNNNNNNNNNNNNNNNNNNNNNNNNNNNNNNNNNNNNNGGGGGGGGGGAAGCGAUCCAGACAAGGAUAGUCUCAAAGGAUAUUUAGGUUAUCACACACAAAGUGUGGGUCCAUGCGAGCAAGGCUUAGUAGCUUUCCAUGACGAUCCAACAGAUCAAAUAUGAUUCUAGCCAAAGCCAAUUGGAAGAAAUGAAUCUCUUGGGCCUUCUCCUGCGGGCAUCUAAGGUUCUCUUGCUUAAUUUAUUCUUUAUCUCAAUUUUUUUUUCCUUCACUUAUCCAUGUUCAAUAAAACCGUAUUUUACAAUUAUGACUUUGAAUUUACAACUCAUCUUUUAUAGUAAAUAUUUUCGUAAUUUAUUUACAAUACUUUAAAUCUAAAUAUUUAACAACUAAAUUUAUUAUUAUUAUUUAAGAUUAGUAAAACUAUAAAUAUUAGUUAAAAUGAAUGAAGAUAAAUAUAUAGAUUUUAUAAUUCAAAAUAAAUAUUAAGUUAAUUCUAUUAAACAAUCCUAAUAUUAAAAGUAAUAAAUAAGUAAUAAAUUUUAGUUUAAUAAUUUAACUUGAAAUCAAUUUAAUUAAAUUAUUAAAUAAUAAAUAUUAAGUUUUAUCCUGAACGUUAAUCUCAACGACCUUGACAUCUAAAUAUGAUCUGCCCCAAUUAAAUAUUAAACCAUAACUUAACAUAUGCCCGCAUGACCCUCGGAGCAUAUAAUUAAUUCAUUUCAAAGAUCACGGAAGAUCCUUUUAGUAACAUGGCUCCAUUGAUAUAGCAUUCUAUUUAUUGACCGCUACGUAUUAUAUAAAUUCAAAGAUCAUGGAGAGGAUCUUGUCGGCAAUCAUUCGUCAGAAGAAGGGCAGUUUCCUUCAUAAAAUAGUAGACUUUGAAUAAAAGUAAUCUACACAACAUCAUAGCAUAUGCAAGCAAUUUUGGACGGAUUACGAAAGUCAAACCUACUGGGCCACGCCCGUUACAACAUCUCGAAAUAGGGAGAAUUGUGUUUUUGAUCCAGGCCCCAAAAAUUAACAUUUGGUCCUCCAACCACCCAUAUUUAAGCCCAAGACCCAAAUAAAGUAUGAAAAUUAAGAUGAAAGAUAUUGUCUUUCAUUAAUUCCUAAAAUACCCUUAUCCCUUAUAUGCCUACAAGUGAGUGUGAAUUUUAAUUUUUUUUAUAUUUUUUUUCCUUUUCUAUUCCCUAUUAAAUAUUACUUAUUUCUAACUUUUUUUUUCCUUUUUAUUUCAAUAUAUAUUUCUAUUUUAUGUCAAAUAAAAAACAAUAAUAUUUUUUUAUUUUUCAUUUUUAAAGAUAUUGAAUCUUUUUGCUCUUAUUAAAAGCAAUGAUAAAAAUUUUGAGAUUUUUCAUCCAAAUAUUUUUUUAUCUUUUUGUAUUUAUCUUUUAGUUUAAUUUUCAUUUUUUAUUUUAAAUUUAUAUUACCCUUUCAUCUAUAUUUUUCUCUUUUUUUUAUAUUUUCUACAUUAACCAUAUUUUAAAAAUUUUUAAAAUUAACUAUCACUUCACUUUAUUAUAUAUAUAUAUAUCUUUUUAGCUUUUUAAUUUUUAAUGUUUUUAUUUUAAAAUUUUUAAAAAGAUAAAUUUGUUGAAAAAAAAUAAUUAAGAUAUGAAGUUCUAAUAUUAUAUUAAUAAUUUUUCUUAUCUAGAUAGACUAAUGCAAAGUAUUUUGACCCACAACAAGAAAAUUGUCAAUACAAUUUUUUAGUUAAACUUUAAAAAUUAAGUUUCAAAUAAAAUAUAUUAUAUAAAAUUUUAUCUAAAAAUUAUUGAAAGUGGUAUUUAAUUUUUUUAUUUAUUGACUUUGAAACUUAUCUAAUUUUUUACUUGAAAGGUAAUAGAACAUGUUUACAAAAAAAAUUAGUUUUUCAUUUUUUUAAAUAAAUGAGUAUAAAUAUAUUAAAAAAAUUAAAGAUAAUCUUAGUAAAAAAUUUGAUAAAUAUGAUUAUAAUUUUAAAUAUAGAUUCAUGUGGAUAAAAUUUCACAAAAAAAAAAUAGUGGAAAGAAAGAACAUUGCUAAAACUACAAAAACAAAAUAUGCAAUUACAAAAAUUUGAUGAUGAAAUUUAAAAAUAAAAUUCGAAACAAUUCUUGAGUGAGAGAAUUUGAGUGGGGAAAAAAUAUUUGAGUGGAAAAAAAUGGGAAAGUUUUUCGAAAUCACUUUAAAUCCUUAACAAAAAGUAGUCUUAUACACCCUUGUACAAUUAGUAAAUUUGUCUUGUACAAUUAGUGUAAUACCCUUGUACAGUUAGUGUAAUACCCUUGUACAAUAUCUCAAAUUUCAUACAUCAUUUUAUGAAUAUCUAACAAUAGGUCGGUUAACCAUGUUUGCAUCGGUUUGGUUUUAAAAAGGAAAAAAAAUUGUUGUAUAAUUUUGUUUUACAAUCAUCAUAAGUGAGGUACCUAUUAAAAUGACCAUAUACAAGUUAGAUAAAAUUCAUGAGAUGAAUGUAUGCUUAACUAAUGUGUGUAAGAAAUGUCAUUUAUCUUUGGUUAAGGGAAAUAAACAAACAAGUUUUUUAAAAUCACUUAAAAUCCUUCACAAAUAAUAGUCUUGUACACCCUUGUACAGUUAGUAUAUUUGUCAUGUACACUUAGUGUAAAUACCUUGUACAGUGACUAAAAAAAAAACGUUAUUUUAUUUUAUUUUCAAUGCAAAAUGUAAUUAAAAAUAAGACAAAGAAAUUACUUAAAAACUAUUAUUUAAGCCAAAUUUAUUUAUUUAUUUCCUUUUAUUUUUGGAAAUAAAGAAAAAAGAAUAAAAAAUUUAUUUAACCAUAAGAAAUAUGAAUAUAAGAUCAGUUGGAAAAUUUUAAAUUUAUUUAUUUAUUUCAUUUUAUUUUUGGAAUUAAAGAAAUAAAAAAUUAAAAAUUUAUUUAAUCAUAAAAAAUAUUGAUAUAAGAUAUAUUAAAAAAUAGAAAUAACCCCAAAUUUAUUUACUUAUUUCAUUUUAUUUAUUAAAUUAGAAAUUAAUUUAUUUUAAUAGAUUAAAAUGUGCACAAUUUAUUUAUUACUUUGUUAAUUAUGGAUAUAUUAAAAUUUUCGAUAAAAAAUAAAUAAAGAAAAUAAAAUUAAAAAGAGUAAUAAAUAUAUAUAAUUUAGUUAUUUAAUUAUUUUUCAUGUAAAAGAUGGUCCCACAAAAAACAUAUAAUUGAUCAAUUUCUUUGUUUAAUCAUAAACAUACUAUUUUUUUUAUUAUUAAAAUAAAUAAUGAAAAAAAAUAAAAAUGGAUAAUCAAUGAAUGAAAUUUAGUUCUUUUUAUUAUUUUCAUAUAAAAAAUAGUACUAAAUAAGGUUUUCAAUUUUUAUUUUUUAAAAUAGUUUUCAUUUUUUAAUUAAAUGUUUUUUCAAAAAGAAAAUAUAAAAAAUAUAAAUCAUAUUACUAUUUUUUAGAAAGUAUUUUUUAAAAUAGCUUUCGAACAUAAUUUUUCUUUAUUUAUAAUUUAAAAUAGAAAAUAAUGUUGAUUUUCAAUUAUUUAUAAAAAAAUUAAAAUAAUGAAAAAUCCAAAUUGUUAAAAUAGAAUUAUUAUGGUUGCAUGAAUAAUGGUGCAAUAAAGACAAAAAAAAAAGUUUAUGUGAAAUGUCAUUGGGUAUUUUAGUCCAUCACUAUUUAAUGUCCUUAAAAGGUAAUGUAUAGAAAUUUGAAGGAUAUAUUGGUCUUUUAACAUCUCAUAUCCUUUCCAUCAAUUAUGGAAGUUAUAUAGACCAAAUGUUAAUUUUUGGGCCCAAUUGGGCCCAAAACACAAUUCUCCCCUCGAAAUAUGGUAGUAUAGAUAGAUGCUUAAGCUGGAAAAACACCGACAGAUCGAUCUAACCAUGGCGGUGCCACACUCCAGCAGUCUUCUUCAAUACCUAAAUGUUACCACGAUCGGAGUGCUUGGCAUACUUUUUCUUUCCUACUAUCUAUUAGUACGGAGAUCCAGAGCUGGUAAGAGAAGAAUAGGACCUGAAGCAGCUGGUGCAUGGCCAAUAAUCGGUCACCUACACCUCUUAGGUGGGUCACAGCUCCCUCAUGUAACAUUGGGAACCAUGGCCGACACAUAU
rnacentral:lncRNA from 1 species